UACGGGGGGAGCAAGCGUUGCUCGGAUUUACUGGGCGUAAAGCGCGCGUAGGCGGCUUUUCAAGUCGAUUGUGAAAUCCCCGGGCUUAACCUGGGAACUGCAGUCGAGACUGUCUAGCUAGAGUAUGGGAGAGGGAAGUGGAAUUUCAGGUGUAGCGGUGAAAUGCUGUAGAUAUCUGAAGGAACAUCAGUGGCGAAAAGCGACUUCCUGGACCAAUACUGACGCUCAUGUGCGAAAGCGUGGGGAGCAACAGG
rnacentral:rRNA from 1 species